rnacentral:rRNA from 1 species
GAUGAACGCUGGCGGCGUGCCUAAUACAUGCCAGUCGAGCGAACGGACGAGAAGCUUGCUUCUCUGAUGUUAGCGGCGGACGGGUGAGUAACACGUGGAUAACCUACCUAUAAGACUGGGAUAACUUCGGGAAACCGGAGCUAAUACCGGAUAAUAUUUUGAACCGCAUGGUUCAAAAGUGAAAGACGGUCUUGCUGUCACUUAUAGAUGGAUCCGCGCUGCAUUAGCUAGUUGGUAAGGUAACGGCUUACCAAGGCAACGAUGCAUAGCCGACCUGAGAGGGUGAUCGGCCACACUGGAACUGAGACACGGUCCAGACUCCUACGGGAGGCAGCAGUAGGGAAUCUUCCGCAAUGGGCGAAAGCCUGACGGAGCAACGCCGCGUGAGUGAUGAAGGUCGUCGGAUCGUAAAACUCUGUUAUUAGGGAAGAACAUAUGUGUAAGUAACUGUGCACAUCUUGACGGUACCUAAUCAGAAAGCCACGGCUAACUACGUG